rnacentral:rRNA from 1 species
AUGUUCAGCCCGAAUACUGUGGCCAAUAAUCGUUCAGACGUGAAGAAUGCUAUGCAAAUCCGAAGUGAAAACUGGAAUGACAAAUACCUCGGCUUGUCGGUGCAUGUUGGAAAGUCUAAACGCAAAGCAUUUGCAUAUGUCAAGGGUAAUAUUGCUGGCAAAGUGUACGGAUUGCAGGAGAAACUAAUUGCAAAAGUGGGUAAGGAGUCACUCGUGAAGGCCGUUGCCCAAGCGAUACCUACAUAUCCUAUGUCUUGUUUCUAUCUGACUAAAAUGCUGUGCGAGGAGAUUAACUCCCUCCUUGGCAAGUACUGGUGGAGCCAGCAAGAUAAGGACAAUGCGAUGCAUUGGGUUAGCUCAGAGAAACUUACUGUGUCCAAAGCCCAGGACGGACUCGGGUUUCGGGAUAUGCAUAGUUUCAAUGUGGCUAUGUUAUCUCGUCAGAUAUGGAGGCUAAUCCAAUGCCCAGAAAGCCUGUGUGCAAGGGACUUGGAAACCCGCUACUUCCCUAACACGCAUGUGUUGGAGGCAUCACCGAGGGAUGGCAUUUCCUACACUUCGCGGAGCCUGUUGCAUGUUCUUGAACUCAUCAAACAGGGCUAUACCUGGCGUAUAGGUGACGGCUCCACUGUCCAAAUCUGGACUAAUCCCUGGAUACCCAAAGCAUGCUCCCGGCAAGUCAUCACUCCUAGGGGAGGAAACUUAUUAGAGUUUGUGUUAUAG